rnacentral:misc_RNA from 1 species
CUCCGUCUCUAUCAGAAGCUUGGAAAAUAUUAAGAAAUCUCAAGGUUAACAAGAUGAGGAUUGUCAUCACGCCUGAUCCAAUGAAGUAUGUGAUCCAUCUCGGUCCAUAAGAUACAUUGACAUACCAGUUGUCAUCUGAAGAACCCUGAAAGAACAUAACUUAUUCGCAUUUAGGAAUAGAAAUUAAAUACUUCAUGUUCC